ACGGAAGGCAGCAGUGGGGAAUAUUGGACAAUGGGGGAAACCCUGAUCCAGCGACGCCGCGUGAGUGAAGAAGUAUUUCGGUAUGUAAAGCUCUAUCAGCAAGGAAGAAAAUGACGGUACUUGACUCAGAAGCUCCGGCUAAAUACGUGCCAGCAGCCGCGGUAAUACGUAUGGAGCAAGCGUUAUCCGGAUUUACUGGGUGUAAAGGGAGCGUAGACGGCAAAGCAAGUCCGAAGUGAAAUCCCGGGGCUCAACCCCGGAACUGCUUUGGAAACUGUUUAGCUAGAGUGCAGGAGAGGUAAGCGGAAUUCCUAGUGUAGCGGUGAAAUGCGUAGAUAUUAGGAGGAACACCAGUGGCGAAGGCGGCUUACUGGACUGUAACUGACGUUGAGGCUCGAAAGCGUGGGGAGCAAACAGGAUUAGAUACCCUGGUA
rnacentral:rRNA from 1 species